AGAUCAUAUGGGAAAGCAGAAACGAUAUAAUCUUCAGAACGGUUCGUUUAAACCCCCUCAAAGCUGUUCGUAAGGCUAAACAGUUGUCGAAUUCUGGGGAUCUAUUUUUGUUGGCUAAUCGGUAACUGGAAAUGUUUUUUUUCCACCCGGUUCGAGGCCCAGCUGUCUCACCUUUGUAGCUUAAUUCAUUAGUUCAAUAAAUGAAGCGGGUAGCACGCUACCUUAUUCUCAAAAAAAAAAAAUAUAUUUUUACUACUCUGAUCAUUUUUUUUUUCUGAUAUUAAAACUUCUGAUACAAUGGCUUAGUACAUUUUUUAUCUUCUAAAUUUUUCACCACAUUUCUAUUCAAAUUU
rnacentral:lncRNA from 1 species